AAUACACCUCAAACUUAUUGCUCCGUAAAUAUGUAUUUGCUGACCAACAUCUUCCUAAGCCCUCCUUUCCCCUAGCCACCCCAGCCUCUGGAAACAACCAUUCUACUCUCUAAUUAUGUAUGAUCAACUUUUUAAGAUUCCACAUAUAAGUGAGAUCAUGUGUAAAUAUGUAUUUGCUGACCAACAUCUUCCUAAGCCCUCCUUUCCCCUAGCCACCCCAGCCUCUGGAAACAACCAUUCUACUCUCUAAUUAUGUAUGAUCAACUUUUUAAGAUUCCACAUAUAAGUGAGAUCAUGUGGUAUUUGUCUUUCUGUGACUGGCUUAUUUCACUUAAUGUCUUCCAGAUUCAUCCAUGUUGUCACAAAUGGGAGAAUUUUCUUCCUUUUUAGGGCAGAAUAGUAUUUCAUUGCGUAUAUAUAACACAUUUUCUUUUAUUUUACGUCAGGAGUUACAUGUGCAGGUUUGUUACAUAGGUAACUUGUAUCAUGGGGGUUUGUUGUAAAGAUUUAUCACUCAGGUGCUAAGCCUACUACCUAAUAAUUAUUUUUUCUGCUCGUCUCUCUCCUCCUACACUUCACCCUGAAGUAGGCCCUGGGUCUGUUGUUCUCUUCUUUGUGUUCAUGAGUUCUCAUCAUUUAGCUCCCACUUAUGAGUGAAAACAUACAUAUAUACCACAUUUUCUUUAUCCACUCAUCGGUUGAUAGACACUUAGGUUGCUUUCAUAUCUUGGCCUUUGUGAAUAGAGCCGUAAUGAACAUGGGAAUGAAGAUAUCUCUUAAAAAAGGAAUUGCAAAUGGCAUUCAUUUAUGAACCAAAUAGUUGUUAAUACUACCCAUUACUAAUUUUUAAAAAUGGGUGUUUUGAUGUCUCCUAGCUUCUUUACUUAUACUUGCACAUUUGGCUUUGGGAUAUUCAUAGGGCAAAAUUCAUUCUAACAAAGAAGAAUUUUAAAAUGUGUCAACCCUUUAUCUGAACUCUAAAGAAGUAAUAUUUAUCCUAAUUGAGAAAACAUUUUGGAACAUGUACAAAAAACAUGUUUUUGUACCUUCCCUCAACCUCUCAUUUAUGUAAGUUAGAUAGAUCCCUCACUUCAAGCUGAUUAUCUGGAGCAUAUGGUACUGGGAAAACAGAUAAGUGUAGGCUUAUCUUUUUGAUGGCCAUGUAUCCAUCAAAAUGUAACUAUACUGCCAAUCAUUCUUUAGGUUUUAGGUAAAAACAUAAAUAAAUCCUGUCCAUUUUUAUAGAACCUCAGAGUUUACUGGAUGUUUUUGUAAUCUAGCAAGGAGGGGCUUGGUAAUUAAUAUCAUAUUUACAUUUUAUAUCAAUUUUCAUUUGUUGUGUGCACAAAUAUGUUUAGGUUAACUGUUCUAUAAACUGUGUAUGAUCCUCAUUUCAUUCGGUGGUUUUAUUCUGAAUUGUGGUGGGCCAUUCUGAAUUAUGUUUUUAGAAAGUAUCAAUUUGAUAAACAUCUUAAAAUAUUAUUAUAAAUAGAUUAGUAACUUCAAGGUUGAUGUAAAUAGAUCACUCAAUUUUGACUGAAUAAAUGUGGAAUGAAUUAACACUGCUGGAGGUAGAAAGACUCAGUUUUGCAUGGUCUUGCCUUUGAUCUAGUUCUCAAAUUUCCUCCUGGCACAGAAUAUUUAUAGUGAGCCUUCUGGAAUUGCCACUUGAUAACCAGCAACAUGUUGUAAGAUGUUGUUAUAGCUACAACAUCUCCCACUUCUUUUCGAUAAUUUGCUUCAGCUUAAACUUGGCUCUGUCUUACUGCCAUUCAGGAAGUGUCUGUUUAUGCAUUCAACCUCGCUUACCUCACGGUUGAGGGGUGGGCUACCUAUCCUCUUUGCUCUCCAUUGCAGAGUAGUAUAUCACCAUCUCUAAAAACAAAAACUACUCAUUUGAGACCCAUGGCAUUUAUUUAUUCUACCCUUGCCCCUCCUCAAAGCUGCCCUCGAAUGACCACCUAUUCACCAUCCGUCAUUCAUCAAAGACAUUGACAUUUGUCUCGUCACCUUCCUCUCUACUCUAACCUUGCUAUCCUCUUGGGUAUCCUCAGUCCUCCAACGACUGCAUGAACAACCCAGUGAAUACCAUGGCUUUCUGGUUUCCAGCCCCCACUCUUCCAGUUUCCUUCUCCUCCGUACCCCUUCAACCACCCACUCCCACAAGAACAUUUUGGAAAUAUAUCAUCACCAAAAACCAUCCCACCGACAGAAUUAAUAAUUCAAGCAUCUUUCCCUCUCACCAUAGCCCCCUCUACUUUCAGAUUAUUAAUCUACCCCUGUAGACCAUCUUUGAUCAUUUUCACAAUGUCUGGUGUUUUAAUCUUCAACUUUCUCCCAAACUGUUGGCUUUUCCCUUUCUUCCCUUUCACUCUUUUUUAUUUUAUUUUAAUUUAUUUUAAUUAUUUUAAUUUUUUAAUUUUUUAUUUUUUCCCUUUCACUCUUAAUAGCUCAAAAUAUAUAAUUCAUUAUUUCCGUGAUACUGCCUCAAAUGCCAAACUCUCUUGCUUCUCUGUUUUUUCUUUUUUUUACCCAUAUGAUAACACUUAAGAUAAACUAAGCCAUUUUCUAACUCCAUGCCUUCAUUCAAGCAGCCAAGAGAUACAUGAUAAAGUCACACCAAUAGCAGAUUCACUCCCACACAUUUAUUUUUUAAAUUAUUUAUUUUUAUUUUUUAGAGACAGCCUUCUUCUGUCAUCUAGGCUGGAGUGCAGUGGUGCUAUCAUAGCUCACUGCAACCUUUGAAAUCCUGGCCUCAAGUGAUCCUCUCACCUUGGCUCCCCCAAAGUGCUGGGAUUAUACGUGUGAGUCACUGUGCCCCACCAGCCUAUUCCUGCAAAUUUUCACUGCUCCAUAUUUAGAUCUAAUCAUCCACUCUGAUAUUUUCCACAAAUGAUAUCUCUCUUUAAAACAACUGUUGUGAACUCUAUCACUUGCAUAAAUAGGGAAUACAAUGGCUAUACCGUGUAAAGGAUAUUGAUACCAUAAACACUCAGGUGCCCACCAAUCACUAUAAGAAAUAGAAAAUUACGUGACACAGUGGCUUUUCAAAUAUUUCCUGCUCUCCUUCAUUUUCUGACUUCCUUAU
rnacentral:lncRNA from 1 species